AACAAGCUUCUCAACUAAAGAGACCGCCACUUGUUGUCAAAUAAAUUUCCACACGAUUCGGGUUGUAUGUCGUGAACGGGUCUCGAUUUAUUCUUUAAUCAAGUAUUCUACUUGAAAAGGGUAAAUAGACUUCAACAAACGAUUCAGGUUGUAUGCCACGAACGAGUCUCACUUUCUUGUUUAAUCAAGUAUUCCACUUGAAAAAGGUAAAAGAGCUCUAACAAACUUCUCUGAUGGGAACUUUCCGGAGAGA
rnacentral:lncRNA from 1 species